rnacentral:lncRNA from 1 species
AGACAGCUGCUCCUUCUCGGAGGUUCUCACCAUCUGUCUGUACAAGAUGUUUAUUUGCUUCCCCCAGCACUGAAAUAUUUGCGGUCACACUGACAGUAACAGAGUGACCCAUCACCUUCCAUGAUACAAAGAGGGUUUUUCUUUCUCAGGGGAGGAACUGAAGCAACAGGGAGGAAAUGACUGAGCUCACAUGAGUCUGUACCAGAGCUGGGACCGCAUCAGAGAGCCUCAGAAACACAGUUGAGCAUUUUAUUUGGAAGGUUCUGGAGCACGUACUCGUGAGCUGUGUCCUGCUGGGUACUUCUGUCUGCCAGGUACCAACUUCAGUACAGAGCAUCUGUGUCCCAAGGGUACCUUUGGCCCCAGGACUGGUGCCACUGGUGAGUCUGACUGGGAGCCCUGCCCAGCAGGUGGAAUCUUCCAGCCUUGAUCUGCCUAGUAAUGACAUCUGUCCUGCGGGGCAUUUCUGCCCCAGUGGUACUGGGUAUCCUGUGCCCUGUCCUCCUGGAUCCUUCUCUACGGUGGUGGGCCUGGAGGCAGAGGAGCAGUGCCAGCCCUGCCCGGCCGGACAUUAUUGCAGCGGGGCAGGAUUGUCUGAUCUGGCCCAGACAUCGCUGUGUAACGCAGGGUGCAGUGAGACAGUCACUUGGGAGUGGGAAAAUAGAGCUAUAGCAGGAUUGCUACAGGUUAUAGUAGAGGGACAUCCAAACUAGAAGAUACUGGGCCUGAAUAUUUCUUGCUGAAUGCCUUGUGUGCAAAAAUUAAUAAAACCUUGAAGACUUUGUUCUUGGCCCUUUGG